GCGGGUGUAGCCAAAUUGGUAAAGGCGCAUGGCUUAGGACCAUGUGGGGAAACCCAUUGGAGGUUCGAGUCCUCCCAUCCGCA
rfam:Candidatus Jorgensenbacteria bacterium RIFCSPLOWO2_01_FTLL_45_25b rifcsplowo2_01_scaffold_2523, whole genome shotgun sequence.